AACUUGUUCACCUACCUGCCGGGCUGUUUGACGCGACAACCGAAUUGAGAUACCUGGAUUUGGACGGUAAUCAACUUGUUCACCUACCUGACGGGCUGUUCAAAGCCACAACCAAAUUAGAAGUACUGCAUUUGGGAAAUAAGAAUCUCGGCUAUCUUCCCAGUGGACUGCCUCAUGACACACCUCACUUAAUUCAUCU